UGAACGCUGGCGGCGUGCCUAAUACAUGCACGUCGCGCGAACAGAUAAGGAGCUUGCUCCUUUGACGUUAGCGGCGGACGGGUGAGUAACACGUGGGUAACCUACCUAUAAGACUGGGAUAACUUCGGGAAACCGGAGCUAAUACCGGAUAACAUUUGGAACCGCAUGGUUCUAAAGUGAAAGAUGGUUUUGCUAUCACUUAUAGAUGGACCCGCGCCGUAUUAGCUAGUUGGUAAGGUAACGGCUUACCAAGGCAACGAUACGUAGCCGACCUGAGAGGGUGAUCGGCCACACUGGAACUGAGACACGGUCCAGACUCCUACGGGAGGCAGCAGUAGGGAAUCUUCCGCAAUGGGCGAAAGCCUGACGGAGCAACGCCGCGUGAGUGAUGAAGGGUUUCGGCUCGUAAAACUCUGUUAUUAGGGAAGAACAAACGUGUAAGUAACUGUGCACGUCUUGACGGUACCUAAUCAGAAAGCCACGGCUAACUACGUG
rnacentral:rRNA from 1 species